UAGCGUAGGGGGCGAGCGUUGUCCGGAGUUACUGGGCGUAAAGGGCAUGCAGGCGGUCCGACACGUUUUGUGUGACAGCGGGUGGCUUAACUACCCGAGGAUACGAAAGACGGUUGGACUUGAGGACUCGAGAGGGACACGGAAUUCCGGGUGGAGUGGUGAAAUGCGUAGAGAUCCGGAGGAACACCGAAGGCGAAGGCAGUGUCCUGGCGAGUGACUGACGCUGAGGUGCGAAAGCCAGGGGAGCGAACGGG
rnacentral:rRNA from 1 species